GAUCUUGGGCAAAGGAGGUAAGACAGGAUAUGAAAACAAUGGACUCAUUGUAGAGAGAUGAUAGAGGGAUGAGAAGGAGAUCAGUGGAACACAGCACCAUCUACAGGCUGAUACAGCACACCAUCAGAUGAUCACAGUAAGACAGCCUGGAGCGGGUGACCGUUUUGUAGCCCCACCACCUUUCCUGUGCCAAAAAUGCCAACUGUAACAACAAAGAGUGGCAGAUGCCAAGGGAAUGCCAGACGAAUGACCUCCGUGAAGUCGGCCUACCAAAGAAAAGCAAAUAUUUACCCUGCGUGUUUGAACCCAUGGCGCUGUGCCACGGCUGCCCCUCAGAGCACAUACUGGGGCGAUAGGCUUACUCGUCCUCCAACUUUACUCUCUGGGACCCUGGGUACACCCUGUCCUGCACAUCCCAGAGCUCAGCCACCCUGAGACCAAUGUCUCCUUACAGAACACUGACUUCAAAGUCCAUUUUGGAAGGAAUGAUCUGAAGAAUGCGAACCGGUCUCUGAUAACCAACAGAGCAGUCGGGAUCAGUGGAGAAGCCACCAAAUGAGAUCUCCUGGGCAUCAAACACACACAAUACAUAAAAUAUGUGCAUAUCAUAUUAAUGUGCCGUUCUAUUCUUCCGCUGAGGUGAAGCUGGUUGGAAUAUGCUGACUGUCUUGACUGUGCAUGAUUUACCCACCUGUCAUCAGUGAACAAUUUUACAUGGAAAACAUGUAUUGGAUCUAGUUUGCUCAACUCUUUGACUCAGACUCUCCGCUUGGAAGAGUUUGCAGGUCAUACCAGGAUGCAAAACUGCACAUCUGACCCAUCUAUGUACUCCAUGGCCCCAUAACCCAUUAUCCUCCAUCAGAUUAGCAUAUCCACUCCAAGAAAUGAGCUCUCAAAUAAGCAUGUUAUCCAUCAGGAGAACAACAACAACUGCAAUGUUGUACAGACCUUAACCUGGGAAAAGAAAGUGUCUUGAUGCUAUGUGUCAGACUCAGCCAACGAGUAAAAUAAUAAUAAUAAUAAUAAUGAUAAUAAUAAUAAUAAUAAAAUAAUAAUAAUAAUAAUAAUUUCAGACUUCAUCUGAUAAAAGGGGCCAGAAUAGGUGUGGCACAACCUAUGUCUGUCUGCAUUAGGGUAUUGUCCUUUAAUCUGACUCCCACCAUGCUGGAUUGUAAUCCCCGUUUCCUGUAGGAGCAAUCAUCAACUACAUGAUGGGGAGGGGGAGGUUAAGAGGCAAAAUGGAGAUGCGAACAAUGUGUUAAGCUCUGUCAAAAAAAGUGGGGAGG